GACAGAGGGUGCAAACGUUUGUUCGGAAUUACUGGGCGUAAAGCGUGUGUAGGCGGUCUCAUAAGUCGGGUGUGAAAGCCCCGGGCUCAACCCGGGAAGUGCACUCGAAACUGCGAGGCUAGAGUACUGGAGAGGUUGGUGGAAUUCUCGGUGUAGAGGUGAAAUUCGUAGAUAUCGAGAGGAACACCGGUGGCGAAGGCGGCCAACUGGACAGAUACUGACGCUGAGACACGAAAGCGUGGGGAGCAAACAGG
rnacentral:rRNA from 1 species